UACGUAGGGGGCAAGCGUUGUCCGGAUUUAUUGGGCGUAAAGAGCGUGUAGGCGGUCCGGUCAGUCGGUUGUGAAAGUCAAGGGCUCAACCCUUGAAUGCCGGCCGAUACUGCCGGGCUAGAGUCCGGAAGAGGGUGAGUGGAAUUCCUGGUGUAGCGGUGAAAUGCGCAGAUAUCAGGAGGAACACCGAUGGCGAAGGCAGCUCACUGGGACGGUACUGACGCUGAGACGCGAAAGCGUGGGGAGCAAACAGG
rnacentral:rRNA from 1 species